ACGGAGGGUGCGAGCGUUAAUCGGAAUUACUGGGCGUAAAGCGUACGUAGGCGGCUCAUUAAGCAAGAUGUGAAAGCCCCGGGCUCAACCUGGGAAUGGCAUUUUGAACUGGUGAGCUCGAGUUUUGAAGAGGGUGGUAGAAUUUCCAGUGUAGCGGUGAAAUGCGUAGAUAUUGGAAGGAAUACCAGUGGCGAAGGCGGCCACCUGGUCAAGAACUGACGCUGAGGUACGAAAGCGUGGGGAGCAAACAGG
rnacentral:rRNA from 1 species